rnacentral:rRNA from 1 species
UGACCUACGGGGCGCAGCAGUGGGGAAUAUUGCACAAUGGGGGAAACCCUGAUGCAGCAACGCCGCGUGAGUGAAGAAGUAUUUCGGUAUGUAAAGCUCUAUCAGCAGGGAAGAAGAAAGACGGUACCUGACUAAGAAGCCCCGGCUAACUACGUGCCAGCAGCCGCGGUAAUACGUAGGGGACAAGCGUUAUCCGGAUUUACUGGGUGUAAAGGGAGCGUAGACGGCUGUGCAAGCCUGAUGUGAAAAUCCGGGGCCCAACCCCGGAACUGCAUUGGAAACUGUUUAUCUAGAGUGUCGGAGAG